UACGAAGGGUGCAAGCGUUAAUCGGAAUUACUGGGCGUAAAGCGUGCGUAGGCGGUUUGUUAAGUCUGCUGUGAAAUCCCCGGGCUCAACCUGGGAAUGGCAGUGGAUACUGGCAAGCUAGAGUGUGUCAGAGGAUGGUGGAAUUCCCGGUGUAGCGGUGAAAUGUGUAGAGAUCGGGAGGAACACCAGUGGCGAAGGCGGCCCUCUGGGCCGGGCCUGACGCUGAGACGCGAGGGCGUGGGGAGCGAACGGG
rnacentral:rRNA from 1 species